rnacentral:rRNA from 1 species
UACGGAGGGUGCAAGCGUUAAUCGGAAUUACUGGGCGUAAAGCGCGCGUAGGCGGCUUGGUAAGUCGGAUGUGAAAGCCCUGGGCUCAACCUGGGAACUGCAUUCGAUACUGUCAAGCUAGAGUGUGGGAGAGGGUAGUGGAAUUCCCGGUGUAGCGGUGAAAUGCGUAGAUAUCGGAAGGAACAUCAGUGGCGAAAGCGACUUCCUGGACCAAUACUGACGCUCAUGUGCGAAAGCGUGGGGAGCAAACAGG